UUGUUCCUCUCUUAAAGUUUGGCAUGGACACCUGACAAGUCACUCCCGAGAGUGAGACUGAGGAAUCACCAUAAGCUUGCUCAAUUAAGUUGUCUCCACUAAUAUAAAAUCUAUAUCAAGUAGUUCAAAAAGACUUUGCUAAACUUAUAACUUUAGACUUAAGCAAAGGUAGAUAAAUAGUCAUUUAGGCUUACAAAUACCAUAAGCAUAUAAACCAACAAACCAACCAAUUUGUUUUCAAUCCAUCACACCAAAAAUCAUUAUUUUUACACAUUUAGAAAGAGAGAUUAUAGCACAUUCAUCAUUUUUUUUCGAAGUUAUCAUUUUUCUCAAAUCACACUUCCCCAAACUUAAUUUUUUUCAUAUAUUUUUGAAUUAUUUCAGGAGUGUGAUAAUCAUAAGCAUAAUAUUUCUUUUUCCAAAGAAUUCAUAAAUUUCUCUGUCUCUCUUUCUUUUGUACAAUCAUACUGCAUCCAAAUCACACCAAAACUUCACCAUUUUCCAUUCUCUUUUCCCACAAUUUAUAUGCUCAUGAUAUUCAUAGGAAAAUGAAAAAUAACAAAGUUAGGAAAUUUUAGGCUCAACAUAGUAUAAUUAAAAACGAAAGCCAAAUUUUUAGGCUAAAAAUGGUAACUAAGGAUAAAAUUUUCAUUGGUUAGUUUGAAAGGCUCAAACGUUCCAAAGAAUGCCUAAAUCAUCUCUACUUAAAACUUCAUUCAGAAUUUCGUCUUAACAAAUUAACUGAGCAAGUUUUAGCUUAUUUCAAUAUCCACCAAACAUACAAAAUCCUACAAUACUUGUAAACUCAUAUCAUGUAAAACAAAAAUGAAAUGAAACACAUAUAAUACAAUAAAUGACAAUAUUCAUAUCAAUUAUCAAUUAUCAAGCACAUAGCCUACAUAUCCAAAGCAUCACUGCAACAACAUCAAAGAGUUAACAUAUUUCAUCAUCGAAGCCCCACCUGUCUUAGUGAAUAUUAUUUUAGUACAGUCAUCCAAUAGUCGAAAAUUAAAAACUAAAUUAAACCCCAGAAAAGCAAAGAAAAAGAAAAAAAAAAAUUAAACGAAAAGCAAAAGAAAGAAUAUAAAAGAAAAUAAGCUUUCCCCCAAACUAAAAAUAAACAGUGUCCCUAGUGUUUCAUUAUAACCCAAGGAAAGAAAGAAAACAUCAUAAACUUGACAACAGAAACUUUAUUCAUCAUCCUCUUCAUCUUCUUCAUCUUGGGGCAGUUGAUAUGGCUGACGUAAUUCUACGGGGCAUUGUGGAAAUUCAUUAAAUCCCGUGUAUCGUGCAAAUGUCCCACAGAAAUUUGCCAUGUAGUUUGUCAUGUGGGACUGACGGUCUCUAAUAUCAGCCUGACCAUGCAUUAACAGCUGUUGUUGCCUCUUUAGUUCUUCAAUGUCUUGCUGCAUGCUGCUAUACUGCCUUAAACUUGAGCCUUCAGUAGCUCUAGAUGAAGAUGAUUUUUUACCUUUUCUUUUCGGCCUCGAAGAACCAGGUUGUGUAUCUGUGGGUGGCAAUUGCAAAAGGCUCGGGUUUGCAGGCUCAUAUCCCAAGCCAGUUGGCCUAGGAACACCACCAUUGUUUUCAUCUUGAUGCAAUACUGACUGGUGAUUGAUUAUAGCGAAUUGUUCACAGACUUCAUUUAUGUUCAUUGGCACCCCUUGAUCCUUGCAUAAACUUGUGAUCAAAGAACCAUGGCCAUGGCCACCAGAUGUGGUAUCUCGAGCAAAAUAGCUAAUACUCUCGUUGAUAAGCCUACCCACAUUUAUGGACUUCCCCGAGCAUAUACAAUGUAACAGGUAUAAUCUUUCGACUGUCACCUCCAUCUGUUGAGUUGAAGGCAUAAGAAUGCUGAUUACGAAUCUGUUCCAAAGCCUCCCAUAUGGACUCAAACAUGUAGCCUUGAUAGAGCGCGGAGUUACAUUGUCACUACCCAUUUUGUAUUCUAACCAUGGUCUAGUUAUUUCUUUUAAAAUCAGAUCAUAAUCAUUCUCAUUCAUACCCGCUCGUUAAUCAUCAUCUCAAGGAUCAUUCAGGCCAUAGAACCUGUUUAUAAUUUCUGGAGAAUAACAAACCUUUUUACGUCGAACCAAGAUAGUAUGAUUUGUGUGAUCCACGUAAGCAUUGGCAUAGAAUUCCCUUACCAAGCUUAUGUUUGCCAUGCGCUUAGGCUCACACAAUUGCUGCCAAUUUAUGUUAAUAAUCAUUUGCUUGAGGAUUUCAUCCGUCUCACUUGGCGAAAAUGAGACUCCACAAUCACAAUUUUAUUCUUCACAAUCCUUUCCUCAAACUUAUUAUGAGCAGUUGGGUUAACAAAAGUAUGAGGAAUGUUCACAUUUGCUCUUUGGACGGUGGACGUAGUUUUAGCUUUCUUAGGUGCUAUUGUUCUUCUUCAAUCACAAUAACAAAUACCAAAGUAGCUUAACGCACUCACAACCCCCAAAUCAACUCAAAAACCCACAAAAAUUCUCAAAAAUCUUCAAAAUCUUUCACUCGGGACUUUUAUCGAACACUUGAUACGCAAUCUUCAAAAAUUCUCCCAACACACUCAAAUGACCCCCAUAUUUUCCCCAAACUUGCAGAAUAAUCUCACAAUAGAAUAAUAAUAAAAGCCACACACCAAUCUCCCAUUUUUUCUUCAUUUCCUCCAUUUCUUCAUCAAAUCACCACCAUAACGCAUCAAGGUUCGGAUUUUGUGGUGAUUUCAAGAAAUUGUUCAUCAUUCUCAAGAAUUUCAAGGUACAUUGUGUUUUGAAGUUUUUGUUAAAUUUUUGAGGAAAUUUGAAGAAAUAAGGUUUUUUGUUUGUAUAAUUAAAUGAUUUUGAGAUUUGUUGUUAGAUUGGUGUGUGACUUUUGUUAUAAUACUAUUGUGAGAUUAUUCUGCAAGUUUGGGGGAAAUAUGGAGUCAUUUGAGUGUGUUGGGGGAAUUUUUGAAGAUUGCAUAUCAAGUGUUCGAUAAAAGUCUCGAGUGAAAGAUUUUGAAGAUUUUUGUGCGUUUUUGAGUUGAUUUGGGGGUUGUGAGUGUAUUAAGCUACUUUGGUAUUUGUUAUUGUGAUUGAAGAAGACUAAUGACACUUAAAAAAGCUAAAACUACGUCCACUGUCCAAAGAGCAAAUGUGAACAUUCCUCAUACUUUUGUUAACCCAACUGCUCAGAAUAAGUUUGAGGAAUGGAUUGUGAAGAAUAAAAUUGUGAUUGUAGUGUCUCAUUUUUGCCAAGUGAGAUGGAUGGAAUCCUCCUGCAGAUGAUUAUUAACAGCAAUUGUGUGAGCCUAAGCGCAUGACAAACAUAAGCUUGAUAAGAGAAUUCUAUUCCAAUGCUUACGUGGAUCACGAGAAUCAUCCUAUCGUAGUUCGAGGUAGUGACAAUGUAACUCAGUGCUCUAUCAAGGCUACAUGUUUAAAUCCAUAUGGGAGGCUUUGGAACAGGUUCAUAUGCUCAGGGAAGUCCAUAAAUGUGGGUAGGCUUAUCAAAGAGAGUGAUAGCUUUAUAGCUCGAGGGAUCACAUUUGAUGGCCAUGGUUCUUUGAUCACAAGAUUAUGCAAGGAUCAAGGGGUGCCAAUGAACAUAAUGAAGUCUGUGAACAAUCCGCUAUAAUCAGUAUUGCAUCAAGAUGAAAACAAUAGUGGUGUUCCUAGGCUAACUGGCUUGGGAUAUGAGCCUGCAGACCCGAGCCUUUUGCAAUUGACGCCUACAGAUGCACAACCUGGUUCUUCGAGGCCAAAAAGAAAAGGUAGAAAACCAUCUAUAUCUAGAGCUACUGAAGUCUCAAGUUCAAGGCAGUAUAGCAACAUGUAGCAAGACAUUGAAGAAUUAAAAAAGCAACAACAGCUGUUAAUGCAGGGCCAAGCUGAAAUUAGAGACCGCCAGUUUCACAUAACAAACUACAUGAUAGAUUUCUGUGGGGCAUUUGCGUGAUACACAUGAUUUAAUGACUUUCCACAAAGCCCUGCAGAAUUAUGCCACAAUAUCAACCACCCCAAGAUGAUGAAUAAAGUUUCUGUUGUCAGGUUUAUGAUGUUUUAUUUCUUUCCUUUGGGUUAUAAAGUAACAGUGGGGACACUGAUUAUUUUUAGUUUGGGGGAAAGCUUAGGGUCUGAUUGGUUUAUUAGAAAAUUGUAUUUUCAAAAAGUGUGAUUCUGAAAUGAAAAUCUGGAUUUAGUGACUGAAAAUAUAUUUAUGAAAAUGUGAUUGGUUCACUAUCUGUAAACUGGUUUUGAGUUUUAAAAAAUUGAAUAUGUGAUUGGUAGAAUAUUCGAAAAUAAAAUAGAAAUAGAAUACGUGAUUAGUAGAACUAAAUCUAAAAAUUAUUUUAUUUUAAUUAUUUUUUUAACAAAUGUUGUAUGAUAUUAAAAUUUCAUUUACCAAUAAAUUAUGUAAUAAUAGUUCAUAUAUUUUUUCUAAUUAACUAAACUCCAAAUUCUUUGCAUCCAUUUAAUCUUUAUAUACUUUGAAGAAGCACAAUGUUAAUAAUAUCAAGAACUUGGAUUAAGACAAGGUCUUAAUGAAUUCGAAACUGAAGUGAGGUUAAUAAUAAAACUUCAAAAAAGUCGGUCUGAAAUAACUUAUCAAAUAUUAACACAAAAAUUUCAGUUAAAAAAUACCGUUGUUUUCAUUAUUUUCUCAAAUCAAAUCAAACCAGUUAAAAUUUACAAUUAAUAUUAGCAAACAGACACAAAAACCAUGAGACAAAGAAAAACCAAAAAAAUCUUUGACCCACCAAAGCAGAGAUUUCCUUCCUUCUGCCUGAGGUUAUUAACUAUCUUUCCUUGUGUAAUGCACAGAGUCUGCAUGCUUUCCAAGCUCCUCAGAAGAGUUGGAAGACUUCAUCAUCUUCUAUUGAAAUUUAAAAUUUAAAUAUGCAAACAACAAAGAUAUAACUUGCCAAAAAAUACUUGCUUAUUAAGUUUCAUAAACAUCCUCCUAAGUCAUUCAAUUUUCUCUCUGCAUAAAUGUAUCAAUGUUACAAAAAUUAAGCUAUACAUAGUAUAGUUGACGCGGUUUUUUGCUAACGGUGAAUUAAGAAAAUAACAUGGUUGAAUUAGUACUUGAUGAGAAAUCGAAAUAAGAAAAUAAUUCUCAAAAACACUGGUCUUUUUACGUGGUUCAAUAGUUAAAAUCCACCUAGUCCACGAGUCUUCUCUCUAUUUUGGCAGAGUUUCGUUAUUACAGAAUAAUCGUCCAUUUUCUUGUCCAAUAUUCUUAGUAUUUAUAGAGAAAUUCUUUGGACAGAUUUGGGUAACUGCGUGAGUCAAUCAUGAAUUUACAUAUUUAUUACAUUUAAUAUGAAAUAUUCCCAUUUACACUAGGAUACGAUUUGAUUAUGAAAUAAACGGUCUUCUAAUAUUUGGGACAUUAAAUAUCACAAGCUGGCUAUUAAUAAUCGUAUAAAGUAUGCGGGUCUUCAGGGAUCCACGGAUACGCCAUAUCUCCAAGUUACCACGAGCUGGAUAUACCGUCGAGCUCGUAUUGUGGAGGCCAUGCCUUAUAAACAUAAUAAGGUCGCGCUUAUCAAUUUAUGCAUCCCUAGCUCAUACAAUCGUCAUGAAAACCGUACUGUCUACGUAGAAAAUACAUGGACUCCUUGGCUAUUUCUUCCAUGCAUUUAUUUGCUAGCUGUGUACGAGUUGAAUGAAAGACUAUUAGGGUACACAAGUACACUGCAAUAAAAACUUUCAAUUUAUGAUUCAAACAAAUGAGUCAUAUAUAAAACAUGAGAAUUAUUUAUAGCCCAAGAAAAACUCUUGCCGAGAAGAGCAUAAUAAUAGAGUAAAACAAAUUAUAAAUUGCACAGUGGGAGAUAAAAAAUUUCUUGAACUAACUAAACAUUUAUCAAGUUAAUAUAAUAUGCUUCCCAAUUAAGUUAAUAUAAUACUUGUUAGAUAGAGAUCACAUCUCUCUCAACAUGUGUAAAAUUGUUAGAAUAUUAAAUAUAUAUCUUUACUCACACGCGGAGAACAAAUCAAUCUAAUACAUCUGCUAUUGGAUAAGGCUUCAACCAAAGUGACCCCAUUAAUAUCUAACACAUAAAACCUUAUAAAAAAAAAGCUACUGGCGGCACACCAAAGAAGCUAGGAUAUGAAAUAUAUCCUAAAAAUUACCAAAAAAUCUAAGAAAUUAUAUGGGGUUAUCAAAAGACAUCUCAUCAGAACAUUAAACACCCAUUUCGUAUAUAUAUUCGACUGGUAUUCACGAAAAAUAAAAAGGAGAUUUACCAUUAGAGUGACUAGGGAUUGAGGACUUGUGAGUGAUGGUGAACAAUCUUGAGUAUACAACUGGGUCUGUGUGAUGAUGAACAAGAAUGAAGAAGAAAAAGCAAAUGAUGAAGAAGAUGUGAAGGGGCAGCCAAUUGAGAUAAGGGGAAACAAGUGAGGAAGAGUUGAAAUAUGUUUUUUUUUUUGGGUUUUGGAUAAAUGAAUUGAAUGCUAAGAAAAUGUGGAAUAAUCGUUUUCAUUUUUUCAGGCUAAAAUUCAAUUUUGUAUUUGAACACAAUUUUUUAAAAUAGUUAACCAAUCGGUUAUUCGUGUGA